UUCAUCGUGUCAUAUGAUGGCUCUUUGAAUUGUAAGCGCAGAAGAGAAGGAAGAGUCCUUCUCUAUCAAGGAGUUUUAAUACCAAAUAAAUUGAGACACCCUUUCAUAUAUGCAUUGAGUUUAUGGAAGAGUCCUUAAUGUCAUGGACUCUUGAAUUCUUACGCACUCCCUUAAUUCCAUGCACCAUAAGAUGGCAUCUAGAUUUUUCUAUGC
rnacentral:lncRNA from 1 species